rnacentral:rRNA from 1 species
GAAAGCAAGAAAGGGCGCACGGGGGAUGCCUGUGGCUCUCGGAGGCGACGAAGGACGUGAUAAGCUGCGAAAAGCCGCGGGGAGAGGCAAAUGCUCCGUGAUCCGCGGAUGUCCGAAUGGGGGAACCCGGCGGUAGCGAUACCGUCACUGCUCCUUAGUGGAGUAGAGCGAACGCGGGGAACUGAAACAUCUCAGUACCCGCAGGAAGAGAAAAUAACAAUGAUUGCGCCAGUAGUGGCGAGCGAACGCGCAAGAGCCCAAACCGCGGGUGUCAAGGCACCGCGCGGGGUUGUAGGACCGUCGACAGUGUGGACUCAGGACGAUAGCGGAACGCGCUGGAAAGCGCGGCCACAGCGGGUGACAGCCCCUUACGCGAAAUCGUCCGGAUGCCAUCAGACGGCACCUGAGUACCGCGGAGCACGAGGAAUUCUGCGGGAAUCUGCGGGGACCAUCCCGUAAGGCUAAAUACUACCGAGAGACCGAUAGCGCACAAGUACCGUGAGGGAAAGGUGAAAAGAACCUCGUGCAGAGGAGUGAAACAGACCCUGAAACCGUGCGCCUACAAGCGGUGGGAGCCACUUCGUGUGGUGACCGCGUGCCUUUUGCAUAAUGAACCUACGAGUCACCGUCGCCGGCGAGGUUAAGGGCGAGUACGCCCGCAGCCGAAGCGAAAGCGAGUCCGAACAGGGCGUGUUUAGUCAGCGGAGGUGGACGCGAAACCAAGUGAUCUACCCAUGGGCAGGAUGAAGGACGGGUGACUCCGUCUGGAGGUCCGAACCGGUAAGCGUUGAAAAGCUUUCGGAUGACCUGUGGGUAGGAGUGAAAGGCCAAUCAAACUUGGAGAUAGCUCGUACUCCCCGAAAUGUAUUUAGGUGCAGCCUCGGGCGAGAGUGGCGGAGGUAGAGCGACCGAUAGGAUGCGAGGGCUUCACCGCCUAUCAAGUCCUGCCGAACUCCGAAUGCCGCCCACUCGAUGUCCGGGAGUAAGGGCGCGGGUGCUAAGGUCCGCGUCCGAGAGAGGAACAACUCAGACCACCGUCUAAGGCCCCCAAAUCCGGGCCAAGUUGAAGACAAUAACGAAGUGCGGCCGCAGAGACAGCCAGGAUGUUGGCUUGGAAGCAGCCAUUCAUUUAAAGAGUGCGUAACAGCUCACCGGUCGAGCGGCCGCGCAUGGAUAAUAAUCGGGCAUAAGUCCGGUGCCGAAGACGUGGAAUCACACCUUGCGUGUGAUUGGUAGGGGAGCAUUCCAUACCGCGUUGAAUGCGUGCCUCGAGGCAUGCUGGAGCGUAUGGAAAAGCAAAUGUAGGUAUAAGUAACGAUAAAGGGGGCGGAAAACCCCCUCGCCGUAAGACCAAGGUUUCCUGAUCAACGCUAAUCGGAUCAGGGUCAGUCGGGACCUAAGCCGCACCCGCGAGGGGCAGGCGAUGGAAGAAGCGGUUAAUAUUCCGCUACCGGCUGUGGCUGCGACGGAGAGACGGAGAAGUGACACGCCCGCGCGCUGACGGAAUAGCGCGUUGAAGGGUGUAGGCGUCGAGGGGCGCAGGCAAAUCCACGCCCCGAGCCGAGACCCGACAGUACAGCGAGCCCCCGGGCGAGCUGACAGCGGCGGUAAGCAUGCUCCCUAGAAAAUCUUCUAAGCCCCAGGCCACAGUCGCCCGUACCGUAAACCGACACAGGUGGUCGGGUAGAAUAUACCAAGGCGCUCGAGUGAUUCACGGUUAAGGAACUAGGCAAACUGACCCCGUAACUUCGGGAUAAGGGGUCCCGUCCUCCGGGACGGGCGCAGAGAAUAGGUCCAGGCAACUGUUUAACAAAAACACAGGGCUGUGCGAAAUUGAAAGAUGAAGUAUACAGCCUGACACCUGCCCGGUGCCGGAAGGUUAAGAGGAGAGGUCAUCGCGAGAGAAGCCUUGAAUUGAAGCCCCGGUAAACGGCGGCCGUAACUAUAACGGUCCUAAGGUAGCGAAAUUCCUUGUCGGGUAAGUUCCGACCUGCACGAAUGG